rnacentral:rRNA from 1 species
UACGUAGGGGGCAAGCGUUGUCCGGAAUCAUUGGGCGUAAAGCGCACGUAGGCGGAUUUGUAAGUCAGGGGUGAAAUCCCGGGGCUCAACCUCGGAACUGCCUUUGAUACUGCAAAUCUCGAGUCCGGAAGAGGUGAGUGGAAUUCCUAGUGUAGAGGUGAAAUUCGUAGAUAUUAGGAAGAACACCAGUGGCGAAGGCGGCUCACUGGUCCGGUACUGACGCUGAGGAGCGAAAGCCAGGGGAGCAAACGGG